CAACAGCGCCUGGGCCGUUGAGAGCGGAAUCUUACAUGCUUUUUCUUUAUUUACCGCUUAACGGCUGACGAGGGUGGAAGUUAAUCGAAUUUUCGGCGGAUGCUUCCCGGCUUUGCAGAGAAGCUGCAUAUCGGCAUACAAAAUCGUCGGGUGACCGGCGUACAGAA
rnacentral:ncRNA from 1 species